rnacentral:lncRNA from 1 species
AAAAUCAUUUAUUUCAAAGCCUUCACAUUUAGUGACAUUCAGAAUCUCUUCUCUUGCAGCCAUUUCGUAGAGUGACGUUUUCUGUUGUGAGUCAGCCUCAGGACCCACAUCAGGGGUCAUUGCAGAGUUGCUAUGACAGCGGGCUGGAGGAGUCAGAAACACCAAGCAGUAAGAGUUCAUCAGGGCCAAGACUGGGUGCCCUUCCACUCCCAGAGGACAACUAUGAGAGGACUACGCCGGAUGGCAGUGUUGGUGAGGCAGAGCAUAUGGAAAAUGGUGUUGCUGCCAUCACCACUUUUCCCCUCCUCCCCUUUCCUCAUGGCAAGACGCAUGGAAGAAGGGCGCUGUUAAGGCCUCUCCAUUAAUCAGAAGGUAUGAUGGGUUCUUACGUAGAAAUGCCGCUGCCCCUCUUUGGACUUCUCCAAGAUCAGCCUGACUCUCUCUCACAAUUUGUAUUAUACUUUGCUAGUGACACAGGGCUGAAUGAUAAACUGAUAUAUCUUAGUGUUACAUAUGUAACCUGUAUAAUAUGAUAUAUAUAAGUCUCAAAUGCCAGUAGGGCAAAAUGAAUAUGAUAUAUUCUGAAAUUCUGAAAAUCACAGAGCAAGUGUCGAUUAUUUUCAUGUAGAUAGCUUACAGUAAUUAAAACUGCAGAGAAGGAAACUGUGUCAAUUCAAAAAUGUAUGAGAGAGAAGAGGAAAAAUGAGGCAGAAAGAUAUGUCUUCAUCUUAAUGGGUUAUGAUUUGAAUGAUUUUUAAAUGCCAAUAGAUAUUCGUAACCUACCUGUUAGUCAAGUUCAGAGUCCUACUUAAGUUUUAUCACGUUAUACUCUAUAGGGCUAAUGAUUUUAUAACAUUUCAAAAUACGUUUAUCUAUUUUAUAUAUUAAUGCAACACUGCUUUUGGGCAUCUCUUCAGAAUUCCAUUUAACAUCAUUUGAAUAUGUAUCUAUAACCACAUACAAUACCAGGCCUAGCACUGGGAGUCAGGAGGAAAAGAAAUGGAAUUUGAGCUAUAAAAGUAUUUAAUGUAAAAAAUUCAAGAAAAUAAGGUCUAUAAAUGGAUAACUAUAAUGCAAAGAAAAAAGUUAAGGGAAUAGAGAUAGUGCUUAUAGAGUUCAAUGAGAAAUUCAAGGAGGGAAUGAUCACUACCAAUUGAGGAAAAAAAGGACAGUUUCAUGGAUGAGGAGAUAAUCUUUUAAAGGAAAGGGAAGAUUUUCCAUAGACAGAGACUGGAGAGAAACUUGGCCAGAAAGCCCACCCCAGACAUGCGGUAUUUCAUAAGCAAAAUUUGGUGUCAGGCGAAAACUUGAGAAAAGUGGGGGUAUUGAGUAGUCUAAUGUAGUGAAAUGU